rnacentral:lncRNA from 1 species
AAAUUCUCUUGUUUCUUCUCUUAUAUUUAUUCUAUGCACAUUAUUUGAUUGCUUGUGGCCAACGCUGCGCAACGAUCGCUUCCGCUGCACCAACAAUUGGUAUCAGAGGGCGGGUGUGAGACGUCAUAGUGAAAGAUAUUAAUUGUUAGCAGAUCCACAAAAACACAAGGGCGAUGACUGACUUUGAUGUAGGGUGUGACAUGGGCAUUGACUUUGAUGCAAGUUGUAAAACGAGCAUUGGUAGAGAUGCAGAGGUGUGACAUGGGCAUUGGCUUGGAUGCAAGGAUGUGACAUAGACAUUAGUUAGCAUUGACGCAGGGUGUAUGCUGUGGGUAUACUCCUUAUGGUGGAGUAUGAUAGUUCUUUUGAACUAGGAUUGUCGGAGUAGACAAUGGUGGUAGCGGUUGAGGCUUUCCAAGGAAGCUCCAAGAUUCAGUUUGACUGAGUAUUGAAGAGGGCGAUUGUUGGUGAACUUUUGCAUAGAGGUUCCAAUAUAUCGAAAGACUUCUUAGCAAUAAGUGGCUAGGCGGCGUGUUCCAUUUGAUGGCGGUACGGGAAACUCCACUACAAGUUUAGAGAGCUAGGCUCUUGGUAACAUCGUCAAGGAUACUCGGAAGGUCUAUGCUGAAGGGGAGCAGUUAAAGAGAAUUAGACAUUGAGCAAGGUGGAGUCAUAUAUUCGCUAAGGUGGAGAGUCUUGUGUAGAUUUCCUAAGGAACGAGAUAUUUGUCUAUUUCAAUCAAGGUGGAGAUUGUUGGGGAUGUUUGAAAUAUAUUAUUAUAUGAAGUCCCACAUUGCCUAGAAUUAGAAUAGAGUAUAAUAUCAAUGUUAUAUAUUGGACUCAAGUCUCUUGUUAUAAUGUGCACCAG